rnacentral:rRNA from 1 species
UACGAAGGGGGCUAGCGUUGCUCGGAAUCGCUGGGCGUAAAGGGUGCGUAGGCGGGUUUCUAAGUCAGAGGUGAAAGCCUGGAGCUCAACUCCAGAACUGCCUUUGAUACUGGAAGUCUUGAGUUCGGGAGAGGUGAGUGGAACUGCGAGCGUAGAGGUGAAAUUCGUAGAUAUUCGCAAGAACACCAGUGGCGAAGGCGGCUCACUGGCCCGAUACUGACGCUGAGGCACGAAAGCGUGGGGAGCAAACAGG